rnacentral:rRNA from 1 species
AACGAACGCUGGCGGCAGGCUUAACACAUGCAAGUCGAGCGCCCCGCAAGGGGAGCGGCAGACGGGUGAGUAACGCGUGGGAAUCUACCCAUCUCUACGGAAUAACGCAUGGAAACGUGUGAUAAUACCGUAUACGUCCUUCGGGAGAAAGAUUUAUCGGAGGUGGAUGAGCCCGCGUUGGAUUAGCUAGUUGGUGGGGUAAAGGCCUACCAAGGCGACGAGCCAUAGCUGGUCUGAGAGGAUGAUCAGCCACACUGGGACUGAGACACGGCCCAGACUCCUACGGGAGGCAGCAGUGGGGAAUAUUGGACAAUGGGCGCAAGCCUGAUCCAGCCAUGCCGCGUGAGUGAUGAAGGCCCUAGGGUUGUAAAGCUCUUUCACCGGUGAAGAUAAUGACGGUAACCGGAGAAGAAGCCCCGGCUAACUUCGUGCCAGCCGCCGCGGUAAGAC